UAAACAUCCAAAAUCCUCUCAUCAUCUUGUAAUGUACCUAACUUGCAUAAUUGUCCUUCAAUAUCAUAUAAUCUUUUUCUUUCCUUUCUUUUAAAAUCAUCAACUUUCUUAUACAUAAUAUUUCCAUUCUCCAAUAUACCAAUAAAACUCGCAUCAAAGGCACCUUCAUCUCGCGAGAGUACCUCCUCUUUUGUACCUUCAUAAUCU
rnacentral:lncRNA from 1 species